UACGUAGGGUGCAAGCGUUAAUCGGAAUUACUGGGCGUAAAGCGUGCGCAGGCGGUGCUGUAAGACCGAUGUGAAAUCCCCGGGCUUAACCUGGGAACUGCAUUGGUGACUGCAGCGCUGGAGUAUGGCAGAGGGGGGUAGAAUUCCACGUGUAGCAGUGAAAUGCGUAGAGAUGUGGAGGAAUACCAAUGGCGAAGGCAGCCCCCUGGGUCAAUACUGACGCUCAUGCACGAAAGCGUGGGGAGCAAACAGG
rnacentral:rRNA from 1 species